ensembl:lncRNA
GGGGGGGGGGAUUACAGGAGUAGAAAGGUGAGAGGGUGGGAGGCCGGUGGAAGGCCGAGGGGGGCGAUAUAGGAGAAGAUGGAGGAUAAAGUUUGGAUGUAACAGGAGACGGAGGAGGAGACAAUGUCGGCAGCUGAAAGGUCAGGCAAGAGGAGUCUGUGAAGAUGGUGGGCUGGAGAGGAGAGGAGACAGGAGGGGAGGAGAGGAGACAGGAGAGGAGAGGAGACAGGAGGUGAGGAGGAGACAGGAGGAGAGGAGGAGACAGGAGGGAGAGGAGAGGAGACAGGAGGGAGAGGAGAGGAG